rnacentral:rRNA from 1 species
GGCGGCGUGCUUAACACAUGCAAGUCGAACGGUGAAGCCCUUCGGGGUGGAUCAGUGGCGAACCGUGAGUAACACGUGGGAAAUCUGCCCUGCACUCUGGGACAAGCCUUGGAAACGAGGUCUAAUACCGGAUAUGACCUUCCUCUGCAUGGGGGUUGGUGGAAAGCUCCGGCGGUGCAGGAUGAUCCCGCGGCCUAUCAGCUUGUUGGUGGGGUAAUGGCCUACCAAGGCGACGACGGGUAGCCGGCCUGAGAGGGCGACCGGCCACACUGGGACUGAGACACGGCCCAGACUCCUACGGGAGGCAGCAGUGGGGAAUAUUGCACAAUGGGCGAAAGCCUGAUGCAGCGACGCCGCGUGAGGGAUGACGGCCUUCGGGUUGUAAACCUCUUUCAGCAGGGAAGAAGCGCAAGUGACGGUACCUGCAGAAGAAGCACCGGCUAACUACGUGCCAGCAGCCGCGGUAAUACGUAGGGUGCGAGCGUUGUCCGGAAUUAUUGGGCGUAAAGAGCUCGUAGGCGGCCUGUCGCGUCGGAUGUGAAAGCCCGGGGCUUAACCCCGGGUCUGCAUUCGAUACGGGCAGGCUAGAGUGUGGUAGGGGAGAUCGGAAUUCCUGGUGUAGCGGUGAAAUGCGCAGAUAUCAGGAGGAACACCGGUGGCGAAGGCGGAUCUCUGGGCCAUUACUGACGCUGAGGAGCGAAAGCGUGGGGAGCGAACAGGAUUAGAUACCCUGGUAGUCCACGCCGUAAACGUUGGGAACUAGGUGUUGGCGACAUUCCACGUCGUCGGUGCCGCAGCUAACGCAUUAAGUUCCCCGCCUGGGGAGUACGGCCGC